rnacentral:misc_RNA from 1 species
GUUAAAAAAAAAAAAAAAAAAUUUCAUGCGCUGAGACUUUGGGUUUACAGGAAAAAUAAAAAAGAAAAAGAAAUACAAAAACUCCAAUGAUUUUCUUAUUUAACUAGUUAGCAAGUAGUUGUUAUUAAAAAUUAUUUAUUAGUAGUAAGAUAAAAAGAUAUGAAAAUACACUUCUUGACGGAAUACUGUUUUAGGCUAAUUGGUUUUCCAUUUUAUUCAUUCAAUGUUUAUGUUAUUGCAAGCUUUAGAAGUCCAAGGAUAACACUGUACAUUUAAAGUCUAUUAUAAUUGAUUCCUCUUCUUCUUCCUCUUCUUAUUAUUAUCAUUAUACAAGUCACCCAAAUUGUUAGUCUUGAUUCUUGAUUUGGUUGAUCUUUUAAGCAUCUACAGCAUAAAGAUUAAAUACUUUUUGGCAUGUACGUUUUCCUUUUAAUCUUAUCAGAUAUUUAUUUAUUUAUUUUCUGAAAUGGAAAUGAAAGUGGUUACAUUUAUGCAGAUUUGUAGAUAUUAUCUGUUUUGUUAGCUUAAGAUUCUAGCGGAAAUUUUUAAUAUAUUUAAUGUCCAAGGGGAAGGUUCAAUUUUCAAGGGCGAUGUUUUUGAAUUUUCAGUAGAAUUUAGAGAGAAUUCAAAACGGAAUUAUGAACAUUAAGCUUGUUCUUAAGUAGACUAUUAAAUAAAUAAAUAGUUUAGUAUUUAAAUGGUAUCAUGUGGCCAAAUAUUAGUGGGAAUCAAUUAGUUAGUCUAUAUUUAAGAGCUACGUGGACCUGAU